rnacentral:rRNA from 1 species
CCUACGGGAGGCAGCAGUGAGGAAUAUUGGUCAAUGGACGAGAGUCUGAACCAGCCAAGUAGCGUGAAGGAUGACUGCCCUAUGGGUUGUAAACUUCUUUUAUAGGGGAAUAAAGGUAUCCACGUGUGGAUAUUUGCAUGUACCCUAUGAAUAAGCAUCGGCUAACUCCGUGCCAGCAGCCGCGGUAAUACGGAGGAUGCGAGCGUUAUCCGGAUUUAUUGGGUUUAAAGGGUGCGUAGGUUGUUUUUUAAGUCAGCGGUGAAAGUUUGUGGCUCAACCAUAAAAUUGCCGUUGAAACUGGAAGACUUGAGUGUGUUUGAGGUAGGCGGAAUGCGUGGUGUAGCGGUGAAAUGCAUAGAUAUCGCGCAGAACCCCGAUUGCGAAGGCAGCGUGCCGUGCCGCCACUGACGCUGAGGCACGAAAGCGCGGGGAUCGAACAGGAUUAGAUACCCCAGUAGUC